CCAAAUCCCCUAUCUGUCGAAAUCCCUAAUUCUUUUUUUUAUCUGCGAUUUCUUACAUGCAAUUCUUCAAUUGAAAAGCUUCAGUGUUUCGGUGUUUCGGUUUCUUGCAAACUUAUAAGGAAAAGCUUCAUUGUUUCGAUUUCUUGCAAACUUACAUAACCCACACAAAGAAGACGGAGAAGGUGGCCAAACAUUCAGAUUCUGUCAUCGGGGGAAUCGGUAUUUAAGGGUUUUUGAUCGUUUCAUUUUUCUUCAUCGUCGUGAAGUGCACCAUUGGCAUCCACUCUUUUAUGGGAACGAGAUUUCAGUUCCUCCGAGGAGUUGAUUACAGAAUUUUGUCGAGAAUGCAGGAUAGUUAACAAAGGGUUGAAUGGGGAUCUAAAAAAUGCAAUGAAAGAUGGAAAACCAAUUAUAAUCGAGACAUGUUCGUAGGGAUGCAACACAUGAGGGAGAGAGUUCUUUUUUCUUUGGACUAUUUUUGAUGAAAAAGAAGAAGAAAGGAGAUGGUGUUGUAGUUGUAUGCUUGGGCAUUUUAUUAGUUUGAUAUUUUGAGAUAAUUUUGAUUAUGCAUCAACAUAGUGGUAGUUUUGAUUAUACUUUAAUGUGAUAUAUUUAUGCUUGAUAACUCCGAUGAUGCAUCUAAAAAUGACUUCUUAUUGGACUCAAUACUAAAUGCUAGUUUCUUUUUAGUUUAUUGG